UGAAUCGCAGACUCGUGUUGUUUGCCGAUCUCCUCGACGACACAGUCGCUGGAGCUGGACCUAGGAGUAUGGCAUGUUGCUCCCUCGUCUGCCACAAGUGCUAGCUCCAUCGUGCUCCUGGCGUGAUGCAAGGGGGAGCAGCCAUGUUAGGAUAUCAGGUUCAAUACAUGCAGCAUUGCGUGGAGCUGCAAGAUGGUGUGGAAAAGUCGUCAAUCUCCAGCAACAUUUAUGUGCCUCAUCAAGGUUCUUCACAUUCAUCAACUCCGCAAAUUGCUUUAUCCCCUUCGGGGAGCUUUAUGUGCUUGUUGCGUGCAUCUAGGAACCAGAGGAAUUGUUAGGUUCUCGACACAGGGCGAUGACUUACACAUAAUGUCAAUUGAUAAGUGUUGUUUUUUCUAUGUAAUAGACAAACUGGAUACAUUACAUUUACUUA